CACAUCGAUGAAGAACACAGUGAAAUGUGAUAAGUAAUGUGAAUUGCAGAAUUCAGUGAAUCAUCGAAUCUUUGAACGCACCUUGCACCUUUUGGUUAUUCCAAAAGGUACGCCUGUUUGAGUGUCAUGAAAACCUCUCAUUCCAAUUCUUUAAUUUUUAAAGGGUUGUGAUAUGGAUGUUGAGUGCUGCCGUUAUUUGGCUCACUUUAAAUGUAUAAGUACUUUUGUUGAAGAAAUAAAUGGAUAUUUACUCAGUGUAAUAUUAAUUAUUCAUUGAGGAGUGUAGUCAUCAUUUUGUGUAUGACUUACAGCCAUUUGACUAUUCAAUAAAUAGCUUCCUAACUCAUUUCAAUUUUUUAGACCUCAAAUCAGGUGGGACUACCCGCUGAACUUAAGCAUAUCAAUAAGUGGAGGAAAAG
rnacentral:rRNA from 1 species